rnacentral:rRNA from 1 species
CUGGCUCAGGCUGGAUCACCUCCUUAGAGUUUGGAUCCUGGCUCAGAGCGAACGCUGGCGGCAGGCCUAACACAUGCAAGUCGAACGAACUCUUCGGAGUUAGUGGCGGACGGGUGAGUAACACGUGGGAACGUGCCUUUAGGUUCGGAAUAACUCAGGGAAACUUGUGCUAAUACCGAAUGUGCCCUUCGGGGGAAAGAUUUAUCGCCUUUAGAGCGGCCCGCGUCUGAUUAGCUAGUUGGUGAGGUAAAGGCUCACCAAGGCGACGAUCAGUAGCUGGUCUGAGAGGAUGAUCAGCCACAUUGGGACUGAGACACGGCCCAAACUCCUACGGGAGGCAGCAGUGGGGAAUCUUGCGCAAUGGGCGAAAGCCUGACGCAGCCAUGCCGCGUGAAUGAUGAAGGUCUUAGGAUUGUAAAAUUCUUUCAGUAGGGACGAUA